GCCUCUGGUUCGUGCAACUGUAUUGGGGCAGCCUUUACACACGCGAAGGAAUGUCAAACAUUUUCACCACCACGCUCUCUGAGCCGUUCGAGUUGUGCGCGUGAGAGAUAGAGCGAGAGAGAGAGCACACUCAUGCCAGCGCGCGCGUGAGACGAAACGAGCGAGUGAGAAAGAGAGAGAGAUCGAAAAAAGAGCGAGAGCGGCACAGCAUCGCCGAGAGCGCGCUGAACAGCUGAACCAAUACAAAAGCUGACGGGCCCGCAGCGCAACAAAAGAGGGAAAGAAACACACACAACCGCACAUCCUCAACGCACGUCAGGCGAGGAGCAGCUCCGAAGAAUACCGAAGAAACGCCAAACAUUCUCAGAAAGACAGGUAUCGAGUGAAGUCACAGUUUCCGCGUGCAGAGCUCUUUGGUGGUGUGGUUCGGUGUGGCCGUGGUUCGAACCGUGGCCGUCCCUUCCCGCAGCGGCCAGCGGAAUCAGUGUGUUGUGUGGCGCAAGAUCGGAUCGUACCCUGGAAACCAAGUAUGGGCGACCCAAUAGAAAACGGAAGACGAGCAAUAAUUAUGCGCCCAUUCAACAACUUGCAGCAGCAUUCAGGAGAGUGCCAGAAGUGCAAUGAAAAAAUCCGGAGCAACCAUCCUCACUGGGUGUGUUUCUGUGUGUGCGUGCACGUACGUGACAGCCAGCUGGCGCUAUACAGGAUCGCCAACGACGACGACCCCCCCCCCCCCCCUCCCGUCAGAGGGUGAUUGCAGUCAAUAAUAAUCGUGCUGGUUGUGAAGAAACCGGUACAUUAUCAAGCAACGCCCCGUCGCUACAUCCUCCAAAACGCUGAGAUGUGAAUUCUCUCCUCGAAUGCGGGGUGGCAAAACGCAGAACGACGACACCACUACCAUCCAAUCAUCACGGCCCCCCCAACAGCUUGUUGGCAAUCGCGUGGUACAAAAAAAAAAAAGAGCAAGAGAACCUGAGGACGAGGAGCGCACCCCUUAUCCCGGUAUGACGGUUCCGCGGGUUGCUGCUAUUUCGUGAAGGAGAACACCACCACGAGAUUUAAAUGAGUUUUCGUCGCCCCACUGCUCCCCGUUGUGGAGCCGAUGAUGUUGCGCAUCCCACACUAAGGCAAAAGUGCGGCGAAGAGAAGAGAACAAUCUCUGUAAAAGAGCGGUGAAAGACAAGAAAGAAAGAAAAAAAAAAACAAUCUCGCACAACCCAACCCUGAGAUUCCACGAUCAUCUGCGAUCCCACACACGGGCACAACGGUGUGUGAACCCCGCGUGUUGUGUGCAUUGAAAACCCAGAAGUAAUAGGAAGCGAAAAAGAGAGAGAGAGAGCGAGAGUAAGUGCGCACGCAAAAGGGCGAAAUGGUGAAACACACGGAGCAAAAGAAGAGAUUCCCUCGUGAGAAACGACACUUCGGGCAACGGCACAAAAGCCCCCGGAGGUCGGCCGAAUCCAGUUCACUUUGUCCCGAUUCCGACUGUUGCUGCUGCUGGUGCUGGUGCUUGGGUUGAGUGUGUGAAUCUUCCCUCGCCUGCUCGCUCGCACGCUGGGAUUAUGGUCACGUCCGUCCUGCAGAUCCCGUCCCAUCAGCACACCAUCAUCAUCGUCCGUGGUGUGUCCUACCGAGAAGGAUGAAGGUGGUUGGUUUUGGCAUUGUAAAACCGGCGGUGCGCGCGCGGCGGCGUUGCACAAACGUCAAGAGAGCACAUCGUCGGUUGCGGUGUGGUGUGUGUGUGUAUGUGAAUGUGCGUGCGCGCGCGCGGUCGAGUGGGUUGGUUUGGUGGUUGGGCCCGGGAUCGGUUUUUGGUUCUGCACCAACCAACCAACCCAACAACCAUGGUGGCGCGAAUGGUGGCGACGGGGACGGAGUUGUUCUCACGAGAAAAUGUACAAUUUUCUGGGAACCGGACCGAUUCCGAGAUGAUUUCCGCUAUCUUUCUACGCGGGGCCCCCGAUGCGAACGACACACGCGCUCUUGCCCGCGCCCAGGGUUGCCUCUCCACCGCUUGAUUGUCCCGCCGUAAUGUUGUGUCUCUUACUCUGCAGCUCGGCGAAAGAAACUGUUGAUCGUUUCUCAGUUGUUUUUGUUUUUGUUUAUGGCCAAAAUGAUAUGGAGAUCAUCAUUAUAAACAACAAAAAUUGAACCUUUUGCGCGCCUGCUCGAAAUGUUAUUGCUGGUCCGUUGGUUUCCCUUCAUGCUCACGGCACGGGAAAUAGGCCAAGCAGGUCAGAGAGAGAGAGAGAGAACACCAUUCUCCCCGACUGCAUUUAAUCAUUGUUUAUGUUGCAAUCAGCACAUUUUUAUUGAAUCUACCGGAUGCUACAUGAUGAUCAUUCGAUUAUUUGAAGAUUAUUUGAAUGUUUGAAUUCGAAUUAAAAAGUGCGUUUUACUGCUCUCUCUCUCUUCCAAAAGACCAACCAGUGUUUGAGGUCCUCUCCGGUUCGAUCGGUGCCAUCAAGUUGAGCCUUUAACUUAUCAUACAGCAAGAAAGAAACUGUGCUGCGGCCUAUGUGUGAUUCUUCGCCACGCCAAGAAAGAUGGCCAACGGGGGGUGUGGAGAAGUGGAAGAAAGCAGAAAGGCAACGAAACAACAUUCCAUUCGCCUGUCGGAGAAUGUCUGCGCUGCUGUCGGGCGCGCUGCAAAUUCUGGACAGGGCCGACGACGGCACACACACACACACUUACCGCACUCACAUUAAACCAAGAAACUCCAAAUGGGGCCUGUGAGGGGCAAGGAAAAGAAAUGAUCCCACGGUUUGUGUGUCUCUGUCGCUGUGUGUCUGUCUGUCUGUGUACGAGUGUAUGCUGCCCUUCGAUGGGGCCCGUGCACAUGCAAAAUGGAGCAAAAACAGAGGGAAACACGACGCAUGUCACAAAGUGAAGGGGGGGGGGGGGGAUGGUGGCCAGAGAUCGAACCGGUGGAAUGUGUGUGCGAUUUAAACACACGGAACGAUUAGUGAUGAAGGGUAAGGGAGGGGGGGGGGGGUGCCUUCGGAUCUCCCCAAAAUACGUCCGUCGUGUCAUCCCAUAUGCGGUCGCGCUUGGUGUGUUGCUGCUGCGAACAUAUUUGCUAUCAUUUUAUGCUUUCGGUGGUCGGGCGGGUUCGUUUUCCAAUUUCUUCGCUCUCUGGUUCUGUGGGUGUGUUUGUGUGUGUGUGUGUGUAUACUUUUAUAUCUUUUGCCUACACCCUUUUUCGGUUUCUUUCGCCCCGUUCGUUUUGGGGUUUGCGUUCGCCGGCUUUUUCUGUGGUUAGAAUGUGGUUCUUUCUCUAAAUAGAGAGGGAGGGAGAGAGACAGGGAGUGCCCAGUGUUGCGGUGGAAUGUGUAGCCGGUUUUCAUACACCCCCCCCCCCCCUUCCUCACGGGCCAUUUCUCGAGCCUGCUGGUAUGCUGGUUGUGUCUGUGUGUCCCCCUUUUCUUUCCUUCCUUCUGCACGUAGACAUGACGGGAGAGAGAAGGUGGUGCUGAGGAUCGCGCUCGAUCGCCACUCUUUGCUGGGAGACUGGUGCCACCCAUGGGAGAGAAGGUGGUGCUGGUGGUAACGGCGCGAAGGAGAGCGAAGCGCAAGCCAAGCCGCCGGUGGUUGGUGUUUAAAGGAAAUUUAUGAAUGAACUCAAUCCAUUCCAUCGGAGGAGCCUUCUGCGCGCGCGGCAAGUUCAACGAACUCUCUCUGCGCCUCGCUGCACGGCGGGACGGUAGAUGGCCGUUUGAAACGAAUGGUGUAUUGCAUUGGCGUGUUUCGUUCGAUCGUUCGAGUGUGUGUGUGGGUCUGUGUAUUAGAGGAUGAGAUUGUUCGAUUGACACCAAGAAGCAAAGGAAUGUUGAAGGAUGGAGGGGAAGGUGGGAGACACGUUAAAUGUUGCUGUGGUGUGGGCCCAACAGCGAUAAAAAUGUCUGCGGCGGCGAUAUGGUUGGCUUAGUUUAUGCUAAAACUAAUGCUAAAGCUUAGCAGCAAUACCCGUGACAAUUUUCGUGAAAUUGCUUGAGAGCUUCCUUACUAUGAACUAUAUUUAAUUAUCCAUCAUUUUAUGGGUUUCUCAUAUUUACUAUUCAGUGAAGCUUGGUCAUAAUCCUUCUGGUCAUUAAGAGAAGUUCCGAUGCGCACUACUCAACCCUCAAUAUUUGAGAAAGUAGCUGAAAUCAUUAUCAAAGGCACAAUAGAUACCAAUUUCAGGUAUGGCCUUUUCUUUCUCCAACUGCAUGAUGAUGGUUGCACCAAAUAAUCAUACAGGGAGAGGUGCGGGUUAGGUACGCGUGUAAGGGUUAUCGAAGGUUCAAACAAGUGCACUGCAGCGCGCACUGCACCUCAUCCAUCCACGCUGUUCUGUAUGUAGUGUGCAUUCAGUCGACUGCGUCCAAUUAGAAACUCCAUUCCAAUGCAACGCGCAGCUCGCGGCUCAGCGGCGCAACCACACUCGAAUGCCGUCCUCCGUUCCCACCUUCUUCCCAUAGCCACACGCCACUUAAGUCACGCAAUUGGAUUGGGUUGGGUUUGGAGAGAACAACGCACGGAAUGCGCUCCCCGAUUGUUGCAGUUAAUAAAGUUAUUAAUGGAUUGCACCAUGCAUCCGCUGCGCGCUAUCGCGGCGGUAUUUAUUUUUCUACCCCGCGCGCGUCUGGUGGCGGCCGGUCACAAUCCGCCCUAGUAUUAGUAGUCGUAGUUCUUCGACACCUCUAUCUCGAGUCACAAUUCGACCUAGUUUUUGAGCAAACACACAACCCAGUAGUAGUAGCAACAUAGCAGCGAGCGACGAGAGGUUCAUGUUCCGAUUUUCCCCGUUCAUUGGGUCCAUCUUAUCCCAGUGCGUGACGACGACGCGACACUUACGGCGAUCCGUGGUGCGCGUCGUUCGGGGGGACGGUUUGCGCAAGCAGUGUAUAUUGCAGCAGGCUGUUUGCCUCUCACUUGCGGUUUGUGGGUCGGCGCAUGCGUGCGUUGUUCCGGCUGGCGAAAGAUGGAUGGUGUAUGUUGUGCUGUGUAUUUUCAUGACUUAUUUCCUAACGCGCAGCGGACUGCUAUAAACUGCUGCCGCUGCUGGUUGCGGGAGAAGGGCGAGGGCAAAGAAUGUCUCUAAGUCGUGCGAGCGAGACUUACUUCCGGUUGUGGAUGGGGAUUCUUUUUUUCACUUCUCUUCUGCCGUCAUCUAUCAUCUGCUCUCGAAAUCAUCGGGAGUAACGGGGGUUGUUCCGUUUCUUCCGGCAAUGUCGAGACAACGACGGUUGGUUGUGUUGUGUUGGGAGUGUAUUUCUGUCCCUUGGUUUUGUGUGUGUGUGUGUGCUCUGUUGUAAGAGAGAGAGAGAGAGAGUAUGUGUCUGUUAUAUAUUGCUGAUAUGGUUGCGAGAUCAUUUGGAAGCAAUUGAAGUUAGCUUAUUUGCAUUUUUUUUUUUGAACAUCUUUCUAAAUAUCUGGCAACUUGUUACCGUAUUUGGUGAUAAUAAUAUGGUUUAGAUUUUUUUUUUAAUUGCCAAUGUUAGAAAGGAGCUAUUAAAAGGAAACUCUAUCCAUUCCUUCGUUUUACCCCAUCUUUUAUGAAUUAGCAACUUAUCCAGUUCCUCUUUUCUAACACAAACACGCCGCCGCCACGCUACAUUUGAAUAAUGGGUGUGGGAAUCGCGAGAAAUCGUGUCGUCAACGCGCGGCGCAUAUAUUUGGCCACAUUCAAUCAUCGUUCACAAAUUGGGGGAAAAGAAAAUAAAGCAUUCACUGGCUGUGUGUGUGUGUUUUUUGCGCUUUUCGUACCUUCCGUUUUUACACGUAAACCGUUUUGCUACUUGCCGUGGUUUUUUGUUUGCCAAAGAGAGAAAGUAGCAGCUCUAGCGGAUUGGGAAAGGGGGAAAAGUAGUGAAACACACUCCGCUAAGGAAGGGAGGGAGGUCCGUCAAGCGGAAAGAAACUAGUUUGGGCGAGCCAUAGCAAAGUAGUUACCUUCGGCUGGUUGAGAAGUGGCUUUGUGUUGGCUCUGUCUUAUCCUUUUCAAAAUAAACCUCUUUUACCUCCUUUUUUGUUUGGUUCAAAGCCGAGCUGACCUUUAACGCGCGAGAGCGUGCGAGCCCGGCUUUGAGCAGCCUUUAGCAAAGAGUUUUUGGGCAUAUUUUACACAACUGACUGUUAAUGUGGGGCAAAAACCCUAAAAAAUGAAGACAAACGCACUCGAAAAAACGGAGGGAACUGAAAAAUAAAUUAACGGGAAAACCCGCGUUACAAGAUUAGAUUCUCAUGCAUUUUUUUUUUGUUUGUGUGGCACCAAUGAAGAGGGAGAAUCAAGCGCGCGCACUGCCUUGCGUACGCGCACGGGAGUGGUACGGAGUGGUGGUGUGGCAUGACAAAGCGGAAGUGAAGGUACUACCACUCUACACACACGCUAACAGUUUCGUUAAAACCUUCACGUGUGGUGAUGUAAUUGUGUUUGAUUUAGACGCACACACACACACGUGAACCCUUGUGGGGUGCGAUUUUCGCGUUUUUAGAAGAUGAAAUGUGCGCACAACUCUAGCGUUAAACGUGCGUCGGCUGCUUUUCGGACUCGACGAUCUCUCUCUCCCUUUCUCACUGCUACUUUCUACUGCGCUUGCGUGUGUUUGGUCGGGGAAAAGUAAAAUCUUUGUGUAUAAAGAGACGCGGUUCGAAUGGUGAAGGCAAAUGUGUUCGUUCGUUCGUUCGUUCGUUUCAUGCGUGCUUGCUGGUUUAGUUUCCAAAUUUCGCGGAAAUUUGCGAGCGUGUUUCACGAAGGGAGGUUUUAAGAGGGGGACUGCUAGGCUACCAACCAAGGAAAAGGAGUUGGCACGAAACAACGGAGCAAAGCGGCCUUUUAGAGUAUACGCAAACAAGGUUGUAGGAGGUCCAACCAAUCUCCAAAGUUCGAUUCCCUUCGAUCGGAGUAAAACUAACGGCAUCUGUUUAAAAUCAUCGUAACAUAUCAAGCUGAUCUCACUCAAUUUUUUUUUCAUUA